CAGCCGCCGCGGGAAUACGGAGGGGGCUAGCGUUGUUCGGAAUUACUGGGCGUAAAGCGCACGUAGGCGGCUUGGCAAGUUAGAGGUGAAAGCCCGGAGCUCAACUCCGGAAUUGCCUUUAAGACUGCCGAGCUAGUAGGUGAGAGAGGUAAGUGGAAUUCCGAGUGUAGAGGUGAAAUUCGUAGAUAUUCGGAAGAACACCAGUGGCGAAGGCGGCUUACUGGCUCAUUCUAGACGCUGAGGUGCGAAAGCGUGGGAGCAAACAGGAUUAGAUACCCGAGUAGUCCCUGUCUCUUAUACA
rnacentral:rRNA from 1 species